rfam:Helobdella robusta unplaced genomic scaffold HELROscaffold_1, whole genome shotgun sequence.
GUCGGUUAUGGGGACAUGUACCCCAUCACCACGUGGGGCAAAUUAGUUGGAUCGCUGUGUGCCAUUGCAGGUGUCCUAACAAUCGCGUUGCCAGUCCCGGUGAUCGUGUCCAAC